ACUCUUCAACCCCCCCUUUUUCUUAUCGAGAUAGGGGUGCGGCUUGGUUUCUGAAUGGUUGCUGGACUUUUUCUAAAGUCGAAGCUCGUUCGUAAUGCAUUAGCAUCCUAACCUUCGAGAUCAGAUUGACUCGGCGUAAUAGACUAUUCGCUGAGGACAUGGCAUCCCUUUCCGGGGGUGUAAUGGCUGGCCUGGGAAAAAGUGGAAGCUUCUAAACCCCCGACUAUCGUAAAAUCUAAGA
rnacentral:misc_RNA from 1 species